AUUUCAGCCACUUGUAUCUGAGAUCUCUAUAGACUGUAGCAGCGUCCACGUUGCUGCAGACGAGCCACCAAUCAGUCUACCUUCUCCAGCCUCAUCCUACCAUUACUUGUGGACAAGACGCCAAGAUACCAGAAUUCUUUCAAUUGAGACACAGACUAUCUCUUCGCAAGUGCUCUAUAUAUAAAGAUCAAGUUUCUCUCUGCUAAUGACCAACCAAUUUUGUUCAAAGACCAUGAUUUCUAUCAUUUUCAGUUUGUGUAAUCAGUGCUGUAUAUUUCUUUUUAAAUUUGUGACUAUGUGCACCUCUUGGCUGCUGGAAACAUUUUCAUUAGUUUAUCAGACUGGUUGAUGAUGUCACAUUCACCUGAUAAUAUAUUUACUGAUACAGCAAUGUUGAGCAUGCUUCCAACAACAUGAAAGCAGAGGAACACUGCACAAAAACCAA